CAUCUCUACCAUCGAACAGAACUUACAUUUUCCUGUGCAUCUAAUCUUUUUUAUAUAUAUCUCUAUAUCUCAUAACUUGCAUCCUACUCGGUGCUAAGUAACAUGUUUGCCAGGAAAAAAGAAUCCCUCCUUGGUAAAUGUUUGAAAUAAUCUGUGUGUUCUAGGAUUCUUCUGUGGAACCAAAGUUUGUUCAGGGGGAGGGG
rnacentral:lncRNA from 1 species